AUAUAUAUACUACAGGAAAUACACACAUCAAAAUAGCAAUAUGUACUAAUUCAAUUAUUACUGUGUUGACAUUUACUCAAGUGCACCAGGUUAGUGUAUUUUCACUAUAAAAAGACAAACAAAAGGCAUGAGAAGUUUGUGCGGUGAAAUUUCAAUAUUAAAAAAAAAAAAAUCCUACACAUUUGACUAUAUAUACAUGAUAUAUGAGGUAUACUGCAAAUAACAAGUAAUGAUAGAAUGUUAGAUUAAAAGGUUUCAAUCCAUCUUUGUUAGCAAUUCUAACUUCCCCAGCUUACAUGUAUUUCUGAUUCCUUAUUUAAUUGUUUAUUGACUUAAAAGGCAUGUACUUGACAUGAAUAUAUAUCAUAAUGUAUUACUUAUAUAUUAAUGUACUUAGAUAAGCAUGUAAUUAUAAGUGUAAUGUAAAUUUUCAAUAUGAUCGUGAUCAAGAUGAAGAUAAAUAAUUAUUUUUACAUAUAUAAACACUUGAUGUCACAAUUUAAUAUUUUCUUUAUACAUUGUAUGUUAAUCUACAUAUAAUUGCACAUUGAUCAAACAAGUAUAUAAUUAUCAAUAAGAAAGGAUACAUUUGUUGCUAAAGCUACAUUUACCUACAUAUACUACAUGUAAUAUACAUGAUAUGCUUUCAUUGUGAAAUUUAUUGGUAUCCUAAAAAUCCAAUAGAAUAAAACUUGAAUUGUAGCAUGUUUAGUCAUGUACAUGUAAGUAAUCAUGGUUAUGGUAUUUAUGUGUAACAUCAACUAGCUUAACAGCAACCAAACAACAGCUAGUCAACCUAUGAAAUUCAAUUAUAGAUGGUAUUUUUUUUGUCCAGAGAUAAACAAUAGUCAGUGCUCUUUGGCUAUAUAUAAAUGUGGCUGUUUCUUUAAAAGUAGAUUAUAUAAGAAGAUGUGGUUUAACAUGUUUAAGGUCCAGUUUGGUCAUGUAUUCUGGUAUUUGGAUUGUGUACAUUUUUGUUAAAUUGGCUUUAAAAAUUUUGUGCUUUGAUAUUAUUGAUGAUUAAAUUUUCACAGGACAGCAAAAAAAAUGGCCGUUAAAUAGUAUGGUGAUUUCUUCAUUGUCACCAUCUGAAGAUUUGAGAUUAAUUUUGCAGGUUUCUGUUCUAAUUGUUUAGGAAUUAGGGGCAAAACUUGUGUAAUAAGAUUUGGGAUGUUCAUUAUGUUGGACCAUAUUAGGUAAAAGUCCAAUUUCAAAAUUUUAAGUUCUUAAACCACAUUUAUUCUGUAUCAGAAACAUGGCUGUGUCAAAUAUUUAUCACAAUUCAAAUUCAGAACUGUAUUAACUUAAUGUUGUGUCCAAACUUGCCCAAACUAUUCAGGAUUGGACCUCUGAGGUAGUAUCAAGCUGCGUCCUGUGUAACUUUUUAUUAACUUUAAAUAAACAACCACUAAAGUUUUUUGGAAAUUUUGAUACAUGUAAUAUAUAUAUACACACAUUCAUCAUAUCAUUACCAAUUUGAUUCUGUUUUUACUUUAACCACAAGUAGAUUUCCUUGCCAAUUGUAGACUGGCUCUUAUUGGACAAACUGAGUUACUGCCCCUUUGCCAAUUGUCUACUGCCUCUUGAAACUGGACAAACUGAGUUACUGCUCCUUUAUCAAAUGUAGACUGGCCCUUAUAACUGGACAAACUGAGUUACUGCCCCUUUACCAAAUGUAGACCCUCUCUUAUCUAGACAAACUGAGUUACUGCCCCUUUGCAAUUGUAGACUGCCUCUUAUAACUGGACAAACUGCAUGAACUAAGUUACUUGAUCAAUUUAAAAUGAAAAUAACUACAUGUACAUGAAUAUGUCAUGCAUCAUGUGCAUGUAUUGAUAUCAAAAGUUCAGCUUAACAUUAUACGUAAUUAUCAAAUGAUUAUAAAAUAUAAAAGACUUACAGAUUACACAUGAACAGAUACAUUUAAUUUUUCUGCUUGCUCUUUAUUGACAAUGAAAGUUUACAUGAUACAUCCCACCAAAGGGAACUAACUCUCUCAAAAAGAUCUCUUGUUACAGAGUCAAGUGGAAAUAUUGAAACAUUAUACGUAAUAGCAGGUUAUUUUAGCAGGCUGUAAAUUUUCGCAGAUAUUACAAAAUCGCCAGAAUAAAUUCUGCCAAAUUAAAAGUGUACAUGCAAGGGUUUUGAUAAAAGUUUUGAUUCCGCCAAAAUUAUAAUCCCCAAAAUAUUUUGUAUACCUUAUUCAAUGAAAAUCUCGAAAUUUUUCACCCGCGAAAAUAUUAAACCCGCUAUACAUUAUUUGUGUAGAUUGUUGUUAACAGACAUUUACUAAUGUUUACUCUUUUAUUUUCAGUUACAUACAGAUAGGAAUGGCUAUAUCCUGGUAGUAUCAGAUAAAGAAACAGAAACAGUUGGGGGAUCUUAAUAAAAACAUGAGUUUCGACAGGAAUGUCAGGAAAUGCAGGUUUCCAGGGAAGAAGCAGACAAAAACUGAAAUAAUAGAAUCUAAAAAUAAAACUCAUGAAACAAGAGAUGAUAGUUCUGAAGACAUAGGUCAAAUGAUGACAUACAAAGGUCAAGGUGACCCUGGUCUAUCUACACAGGGCCGCAGAGAAUCAUAUGAGACUGAACACGAUAAUUAUAUAUUUAUCAAGUUUAAGAACGACAGUGAUUUAAAACUUUCUGGGAAGAGCCAUUUUACUUUGCAUCCUGACAAUGAAGCCUCCAGUAGUCAUAGCGAUGCAGGAAGGUAUGACAAUGAGAUGAUACCAGAAAACUUAAGGGACGAUUCAGAUGAGGAUGAUGAUAAUUCUAACACUGAGGAUUAUAAUGAUUUAUAUGAUAUUGAUGCUGAGGACGAAUUAGAUUAUAUAACCGACAGAUUAGGGGAUCGUUUUAGAAAUGUCUUUGAUCAAGAUGAUAGUUUUAUUCAGCAAUUUCUAGAAGAUAUACAGGGACUGGACAUGGAUUUUGAUGGUCCGAUUCCUUGGCCAAUGCGACAAAUGCUUGAUGGACAAAAACAGGAUCCUCAAUAUCCAUGUAGUAGUAAAAUAAAAGGAAAUUGUGAAAUCUGUCUGAGUGAAGACAUUGAUACCAGAAAGAGGCUAUGUUGUAGUGUACCUGUUUGUGAGAACUGUUUGCAGGAAUAUGUAAAAAAUGAGGUCGAACAAAGAAAUGUACGUUUACAAUGUAUUAAUUGUGACUCUUAUGUUCAUAGAGAUGAAAUUUUGGCUUUGUUACCGACAGAAUUGAAAGAUAAAUUUUACCGAUUUUUAAUCGAGGAAAAUAAAGAUCCCAAUGUGAAAACUUGUCCACGAUGUUGUUUACUUCAAAACAAAAGUGAAAUUUUACCAACCUUAUCACCCGAAACGUUGAAAAAGAAAAAGAAAAAUUCAGCAGCAGGUCUAAAGGUCAUUUGUUCACGGUGCGGAUUAACCUGGUGCUAUGAUUGUCAUGCUCCUUGGCAUGAAGAUGUUAAGUGCAAAGAGUUCAAAAAGGGGGACAAGCUGGUGAAGAACUGGGCUAAAGAGUUGAGUUAUGGUCAAAAGAAUGCUGUCAGAUGUCCUAAAUGUAAGGUAAGCUUGACCAGAGCACAUAAGGAUUUGGUUGUCUUUGGCCUGUUUGUUGUUUUUUUUUGUCACUUUAGAUGUAAAAUAUGCAUAGAAUUCAAUUUUUAUUAACCUCCAAGCCAAUCAAUAUUUGGAUAUUAUUAACCUCCAAGCCAAUUAAUAUUUUGAUAUUUAUUUGGAUAUAAGUCAACAAGCUAUAAAGACAAGAUAACAAGUAAGCAUGCAAACAUUCAGUUAACUUUGUGAAAGAAAUCUCAUGGUUAAUUAUCAUGUACAUGUAACUUGUUUAUUUUGGCUAUCAUGUUUAUCAUAUUAAUCAUGUUUAUUAUAGGUUUUUAUCCAGAAGAAGAGUGGCUGUAGUCUCAUAACCUGUAGGAGUUGUUAUUUAUCAUGUUUAUCAUAUUAUCAUAUUAAUCAUGUUUAUUACAGGUAUUUAUCCAGAAGAAAAGUGGCUGUAGUCAUAUGACCUGUAGGAAUUGUAACACAAGUUUUUGUUAUCGCUGUGGAGAUCGGUACAUACAGAUGAAACUGAUUGGUAAACACAGUGACAGAUUUAGUCCGUUUGGAUGUAAAUAUAACUUACUACCAGACAAGCCAAUGGCUAGGAAGGCAGUCAGGGGGAGUGUCCUUGGUAGGUCAAUAUUCAGUACAUUAAUAUAAAAGAAGGAAAUGUGAUAUAAUUGUCAAUAAAACAACUUUUCACCAUAGCCAAAAUUACAUGAAUUUAUGCAACUAUAGGUCAAAGGCCUUCAACAAUGAGACAAAUCUAGACUUUUUUAUUUUGUCAGUUUUAAAUAUUUAUGACAUCACAAAAUCAUAAAAAGAUUAAAGCUACGAGUUAUAUACAUGAUAUAGAAAAUCUAAAAUAUGAUUUUUUUUGGUUCAUAAUCAGUCAAUAAUGAAUAUGAUGACAGUGAAAUAAUAAUUCACUUUUAGCAGCCAGUAUGUUUCAAUUUUGUCAUAAUAAGAUAAGAAACAUUGAUGAUGAAUUAUUCACUUGCAAGUGAAUAAUUCGACCUCAUUGAAUCCAUAUUCAUGUGAACUUCAUUUAACCUCUUAGCUUUAAAAAAUGAAUAACGCAUGCAUCGUGCGUGUUUUUGGUUAUUUAAAGGAAAUGAAUGUCAACAUUGAAAGUGAAACAAAGGUAAAUCAUUUGAUUGACUGAUUCAAUCCACAAUAAAUCAUACGUAUACAGAUAAAAACGAGGAUAAAUAGAUAAAGGAAGAUGUGGUAUGAGUGCCAAUGAGACAACUCUCCAUCCAAAUAACAAUUUAUAAAAGUAAACCAUUAUAGGUCAAGGUACGGCCUUCAACAAGGAGCCGUGGCUCACACCAAACAGCAAUAUAUAAACAUAUAUUUUUAAUCUAUGAUAUGAAAUUAAAGACACAUAGAAAAAUUAAAUUGCACGAAUUAGCUUAAUCUAUAUAAUCUCUAUUUAUGUUUAUAUACCGUAUAUGGCCAUCGAAGGUUGACUUGAUAGUUAAUUAGAUGGCGUCUCUAGACUAAAAUACACACGAAACGAACCUUCAUAUUAUCGAUACCAUGCUCUGUAAAAUAUUUAUUUUAGACUUUAAAUAGUGUGGAUAAUUGUUUUACAUUAUUAUAAAACAAAUAUGAGAAUUUAAGUCAAACGGGUGAAUAUGAAAUUGACAGCUAGUGCCCCUUUAACAACCUGAUUUAUCAAGUUUAUGACAAAACAAUAAAAACAAAUUUCUGAGGAACUUAUUAUAUUAAAAUAAGCCGAUCACAAACUCUUAGAUUUGAUACUUUAAGCACUGGAUCAACUAUACGUUGUGUUUGGAAUAAUUUGUUGAUGUAACAACAGUGUUUUUUUGCAUUUCUAGGUGCAAAGAUAUUUGGAGGUGUUUUGCUAAGUGGUUUAAUUGUGGCAGCCGCUGCAGUGUUCAUAGGUGGCAGUGUCAUCUUUGUUCCGACUUACUUUGGGGUCAAAUAUUACCACCAUCGUAAGCGACAGAAAUGGAUCAGAAACCACAGAAAACAGAGAGAGGAACAGAACAGAGUCAGAACGAAGGCACAACUAGGUAUGUAUAUGUUCUGGACCAUACAGGUAUGACUAGGUAUGUAUAUGUUCUGGACCAUACAGAUAUGACUAGGUAUGUAUAUGUUCUGGACCAUACAGGUAUGACUAGGUAUGUAUAUGUUCUGGACCAUACAGGUAUGACUAGGUAUGUAUAUGUUCUGGACCAUAUCAGUAUUUGGAUCAUACACAUAUGGUGAUGAGUCUGGUGACCAUAUAAGUAUUAUACUCCUUUGGUUAUUAUAAGUUAUAUGGUUCGCUACUGAACCCCUACGAAUCCAUAGAGAGUUUGUAAAAUCCAUAGAGGGUGACGCCGGAGACAUAAUCCACUAUGGAUUUUAUUGACUGUCUAUGGGUCUGUAGGGGGUCAGUAGUUAACCGUUUAACGAAUUUAUCGCACGCUGGACUUUUUCUGCUGCGUUUUGUUGUAAAAUAAACAAUAAAAGAAAAACAACAUUUAUGGACGACGUCACCAUUAACAGUAGACGUGACGUCAUGGACCCCUAUGAAAUUUACUAACCCCGUACGGUCUCAUAGGGGGUCACCACGUGACGGCUUUAAACCAAUCACAACGUGACAAUUUACCAGCGGUGCGAUAAAUUAUAUUAAAGGGCUAGACCAUAUAUAUGAGUAUAUAGACCAUAUAAAUAAAUUCUAGAACACACAGCUAAUUCUCAGAACCAAAUACAGCACAAGUUACUGUUUGAAUUUAUAAUCGUUUACAUUUAUUGUCUGAAUUCACAAGUUAUAGUGGUGGAAUCUUUUUCUAUAAUGAUUUUUACCCUUCCUUUUCAAAGAUUUAAAGAACGUUGUGUUCUUGAUAUAUGUGACGUCAUCAGCCAUUGUCGCCCUUUUUAGCUCACCUGGCCCAAUGGUCUAUUGACUUUGUUUGAAACACAUGUAUUACUUUGUGAUUAGGUACAUUUAAGGGGAACUAUUAGUGGUAGGCUAAUGUUAAUUGCCAAUUGGCAUGCAGUAGUAUAAGUGAAUAUUUGCAUAACUUACCUGUUAAAAUAUUGCUUUCUUAAUUUCAAGAUUUGCAUUAUCAAAAUAACAGAAAGGCGAGACAUAUCUCUGUGUUAACAGUUUAUUCCAAGAUAUUUAUUAAUUGUUUUAAAAACAAACAAAAAGUACUUUAUUUGAUUAUUGUCCUUGUACCUAGGGUAAAUUAUUUGCAAAGCAGGAGACAGUGAAACUCUCUUCUUUUUUUUUUUUUUUAUUAUAAGUCUUUAUUAAUUACUUUCCUUUGUACAAAACAAUAGCUGCAAGAAAAACAGAAACGAGAGACGUAGAAAUAGGAAUUCCUUAUACAGAUCACAGUGACACCAUGACCUCUACAGAGAGCAGCUCUUCUAGUGGUCGACAUGGUUCCACAGAGGUCAAAGUUUGGGUAAGUGAACAAUUGUACAAUAAGGAGAUGAGGUAUAAAAAAAGAAGAUGUGGUAUGAUUGCCAAUGAGACAACUCUUCACAAGAGACCAAAUGAUACAGCAAUUAACAACUAUAGGUCAAUGUACAACCUUCAACAAUGAGCAAACCCAAUACCAUGAUGUGGUAUGCUAGACAACAGGAACAAGUACUUCUAAGAUCUAACUCUUUUGCUACAUGUAGUUGUAAACAAGUAAAACAGUUGUUAUGGUCAAUGAUAAACAAUUGAUAAUACCUAUGGUCAAUAAUAAACAAUUGAUAAUACCUAUGGUCAAUAAUAAACAAUUGAUAAUACCGUAUAAGUGAAAGACUAGAAAAUACGUCAGUUCCAAGAUAGUCUGUUUUACCGUGUUCUUUUUUAUUUCACAUACUUAUGUCACAUGAUAACAUCAGAAAUCAAUGCAAUGUUGGGAUCAGUACAACAACGUCUGCAUGUAAUCAUCAUAAUAUCGUAAUUAACAAUACUAGUAUUAUUUUGGUUGUGAUGGAUUGUAGAAAUCCAUUAUAUAACAGAACCAUGGCACAACCUAUUUGAUAAAACUAACCCCUAUCAACACUUUAAUUAUGAUGCAUUUUGAGUUAUUUGUCUUGGCAGCCAUUUUGAAGGUGUAGAUGGUUGAUUUUAUUAUUUGAAUAGCUAUCAUCAAUGUAACAUGUUGUACAAGUCUGAUGAGAGAUCCUUACUAGAUUUUAGUGAUGAAUUUAACAAGGCUUAAAGUCAUAUGAAACCUCAAAUUUAAAAGAAAAUGAUGCAUAUGUGUGUUUUAUAACAAAAUGGAUAGUUUACAUUUUUAAACUGAUGUACAGUAUACAGUACUGUAUACUUUUUUCUGAAGAAAAUUCUUUUAUUUGUCCAGAUUUAGAAGAAGUUUACUUUUUUUUAAUUGCUAGCUUCCAGGAAGCAAUUCGCAGACACGUUUUCAAUAUGCAAGUUACCUUAGUGUGACCCUUCUCGUAAAAAUCCUGUGACCCCAAUAUGCAUGUAUCUGUCUCUGAAAUAAAUUAUUAUCUUAUUGUACAUGUUAUACAUGUGCUCAAUAUCAAUGUUUCUUUGUCGAUUGUUUACUAUAAGGUGACAAUCGGUAAACUACGGCUUCAAAACACUACAGUUAAUGAGCUGCCAUAUUUUCACAUUUUAACAGACAGAGAGAAAAUAAAAAUUGACGAUUAUACAAUAUGUUUGCGUAAAAAAUGAUAAAAUCGUGCAUGAUAUAUACAUACAUUGGUUCAAGAAUUGGAUAAACAUUAUUUUUCACCAGUCACUUGUUUCAUAUGACUUUAAACAAAUUUUAAUUGUUAAAAAAAUAACAUUUUAUUUAAGUCUAGCUUUCAGUAAAACAAGUGACAAAUUUGGCAGAUUUUUAAAGGAAUUUGGAUGAUAGACCUCAUCAUAGCAACAAAAGGGAAAUAUCUCUUGCUUAAAUUGCUCGAAAACUAAUUAUAUAAAACAAUUAUGGCCCGCUGAGGAGUUGAUUAACCAAAAUUGUCAACUCGAGUAAGGUUGACAAUUUUGGAUAAACAUCGAUUCCAUGUUUUUCAAUUAAACGAAAAAUAUUGUAACAGAAAAAAUAUUUUUGUGUCUUGACAUUUCAUGUAUGUACAAUAAAGGUAGACUCUUUUGGUGAUAUAUAGAUGGCCCUGAAAAUGGCCGUUUACAAGCUAUAUCGUCCUAACUAGAUGAAUUUCCAAUGCUUGUUUGUUGAUAGGCUCCUGCAACGUAGACGUUGCCAUGUUGUUUAUUUAUGACUGUGACAUAAUUUUCAUGGGAGAUAACUCUUGUACAAAUCAAGAAACUCAAAAGGUUAUUAGCCUGUGAAUAAUAGGGUUAUUCACCGCUGGUGUAAAUUUUUAGGGUUGUUUGUCCUUCCUUGCAAUUAAAUUAAAAUUAACUAAAUUAUUCCAUGUCACGUGAUAACGUUUUACCCAAUAGAAUUGUUUGAAAUAUAUGUAAGGUAUUAUAAUAUUAAACUAACAUUCAAAUCAUUAUUUUUGCAGGUCCAUUCUGAGAAUGAAGAGAAACCAUUAGAUGUUGUAAAGUACAAAUCUCAAGAACAACAGACGACAUCUAGUAUCCAUGACAACACAGUAACAACUGCUGAAGUGACAAUGGAAGAUGAUUUGGUGGUACUCCAUGUUAAAACAACAAGUAAAAUAAUAUCAGGAGAAGGUGAUCAGUCUGAACAGGAAGUAGAUGGCAGCACUGAUCAAAACUUUGUUGAUGAGAAAAGUUUGUUUGAAAAUUCCAAUGAUACAAAGGAACAUAAAGUUGUUACUGAGAUAAAUGUGGACACACAAGGAUGUUUUGUCAAAAUUCUUGGUAAACUUCCUGUCAAAUGGGAAAAAGAAGAAGAAAAAGAAGUAAAACUGAAAGAAAAUGGAGGUUCCGUUAAACCUGCUAUUGUAAAAGAAAAGAGAAGAAGAAUAGGUACAAGGAGAGCGAAAAAUCUGGAUUAUCUAAACGUUUCAGAUUCUGACAAAGUAGAGAAGUAUGAAAGAGCAGACGAUCAUGAAAUAGCAUCGAGUGAUGAUAUAUCUGAAAUCCAACAAGUUAAACAAAACUGUGAUCAAAUGGACCCAUAUUAUGGAUUGGUUUCCAUGGAAACCUGUGAUACUGGAUUCUAGUAGUUGUCUUUUCUGGUGUCUAUUUAAUUAUGCAGAGAUUAUGUUUUAUAUAUACUGUUGUCAGCUAGUCAUUCAUUGUUUUUCUGUUGAUGAUAUUCAUUGAUAUUAGGCCAAACAUAAAAGUAUGUGUUUACUGUACCCCUACCUUCCCUAAUUUUUAUCCCCUACCCUAUAGGUUUUUUUGGUCAUUUUUGAAUAAGCACUGUUUACGUUACAAUGUUGCUCACAUACAUGACAUAGACUCAAUUCAAAAAUAUUUAUAUUAAAAAAAAAUCCCUACCUUCCUACUGACUUUUUUCUAGCAUGUGACAGUAAACACACAUAUUUUUUUGUUUGGCCUGACAUGAAUAUACAUGUAUGUAUUGCCGAUAAAGAAGGUGAAAAUGUUUUCGUAAAUAAUAAGUUUAAACAUGUUAAAGGCACUACUAUGAAGUAGUGGUUGGUUUUUUCACACACUUACAUUGAUAUAGAAUACAACAAUUGUUUUUGAGCAUGUACAUGAUAUAUAAUGAACUCGUAAAUGUAUUGAAAUUUUAUAACGAAUAUUUAAUUAUGUGCAAUUUUUUACUUUAACUGAUAUUAUAUAUUUGUUUAUGCCAUGUUGGCUGUGAUGUUGGUUUUGUUGUAGAUUUUGAUGUUAUUUUGAUAAGUUAUGGCCCCUGUGAGUGUCAUGAUUUUGAUAAGUUAUGGCACCUGUGAGUGUCAUGAUUUUGAUAAGUUAUGGCACCUGUGAGUGUCAUGAUUUUGACAAGUUAUGGCACCUGGGAGUGUCAUGAUUUUGAUAAGUUAUGGCACCUGUGAGUGUCAUGAUUUUGAUAAGUUAUGGCACCUGUGAGUGUCAUGAUUUUGAUAAGUUAUGAUCACCUGUGAGUGUCAUGAUUUAAUUUUUACUGUGGAUUCAUUUAUUUUGGUGGAUAUCAAUAUUCGUAGAUUGAGGAAAACUUGCAUGUUCGUGGAUAUUUUAUUUUGUGGUUUUCCAAAAAGUCUGCAUUUAAUCUUACAAUAAAGUUUGCAAUUUGUUAACGUUUAAAUUCGUGGUUUCCCUGUACCAACGAAAUCCUUGAAAAUUGGUGUCUAACAAAAAAUAAUGAAUCCACAGUAGGUUAUGAUGAUACAUGUGAUGUUUUUAGUUCUGGCUGGCUAGCUAUAUCUCAAUUCUACGUAUGAUUAAGAUUACACAUUUUCUUGUGUUUUUGAGUACAAUGUAUGACAUUAUACAAACAAUAAGCAUGUGUAGUGGUGUGAACAUUCUUCAGGUCCAAUCCAUGACCAUAUUAAGUGAUUUGUAUGUCCUACCGACAAUUUCAUGUACAAAGGGAAAUAACUCAAUUCACAAUAUUGUCAAAAGUUUCUUUGCUUUUAAAAUACAACUUCCAAAGUUUGAAGUUCAAAAUGUAAAUCAAAACAAUCAUUACCCCUUUAUGUUCUGAAGGAUAUUGAUUACUGUAAAUUCAGAAAUAAUUGCGAGCAUUCAUAAUUGCGAUUUUGUCAUUUUAGACUUAAAUGCUAUUUUAAUUUUUACGAAUUCGAGAAAAAUCCUUUUUAAUUCAUACAAAAUAUUUCAAAUUGUGAGUUUAAUGUAUUUGGUUUACAACUCUGUUGAAUUUUUUGCAAUAAUAAAAACCUCGCAUUAAUUUCUGAAUUUACAAUUUUUGUUAAAUCAAUUUAUGAUAAGUUAUAAUUAUAGUAAUCAGUGCAAAGUAAUUAUGUUAUGCAUAUCAUCUCAAUCCUCCUCCAAAACAAAUUCCUUAUAAACCUACAUGAAAUAUAUGGAAGGCAUUCAUGAUGACGAUAGUGUGUCAGCGUAAAAUUGAUUCUUGUGCAGCAAGGAAAUUAAAAAAUCUCUUCUAUAGGUUGUUACCCAAUUUUCAAAGUGCCUUCUGUUGGUACCAUAUAAAAAUUAGAAGAUGUGGUAUAAUUGCCAAUGAGACUAUCCACAAGAGACAAAAAGACAACUAUAUGUCCCAUACAACAACGAGCAAAACCCUUAAUGCAUAGUCAGCUAUAAUUAGCUCUGAAAUGACAAAUGUAUAUCAAUUCAAACAAGAAAAUUAGCGACCUGAUUUAUGUAUAAAAAAAAAAUGAAAAAAAUACAAAUAUGGAUUCAUUAUUAUUUGUGGGAUAUCAAUUUUCGUGGAGUUCGUGGGUGGAAGUAAACCACGAAUUCAAAUGUUCAACGAAGUUAACAUUUUUAUAUGCUUGUAUGCAAACUUUGGCUAAACCUCGAAAUCAAAUAUCCACAAAAAUACAAUUUUUCCUGAGUCCACGAAAAUUGGUAUCCACGAAAAUAAAUGAAUCCACAGUAAAGCCAACAAACAACAACCACUGAAUAAGAGGCUCCUGACUUGGGACAGGCUCAUACAGAAUGUUGGAAGGUUAAACAUGUUCGUUUUGAUUGUACUUGCAAUAAUUAUUUGAUGGGGGGAACAAUUAAUUAUGAGUUAUCUGCUCUUAAACAAGAAAAUUAGGGAAAUAUGAAAUAAGCCUUGUCGCAGCUUUAUUGACAUGGUCAUAGUUAGCCAACAUUGAUAUUUGUUUAUUUUCUUGUCUUGUUUUGUUUUAUUGAUGAUUCUGGUCAUAAAAAGUCAUUAUUAGAAUGAUUGUUUAGGGUAAAUUUUUGGGGUAAAAUGGUUGUCUCGACUUUAGAAUAGUAAAUACCCAGUAGUAUGUAUUGUUAGUCAAUGUUUGAUGGUACUGUGGAUUCAGUUAUUUUUCGCGGGUACAAAUUUUCGUGGAUUACUGAAAACUUGCAUAUUCAUGGAUAUUUGAUUUUAGUGGUUUUUCCAGUCUCUGUAUACAAAUAUAAAAAAGAAGAUGUGGUAUGAUUGCCAAUGAGACAACUAUCCACAAAAGACCAAAAUGACACAGACAUUAACAACUAUAGGUCACCACACGGCCUUCAACAAUGAGCAAAGCCCAUACCGCAGCCUAAUUGAAAAUAUGUUAUUCAUUGAACAUUUGAAUUGGUUGUUCACCUGUACCCACGAAACCCACAAAACGUAAAUUGGUAUCCAAUGAAUAAUAAUGAAUCAACAGUAACUAAUAAUUGACUUUAUACAAAAUGUAUUUAUCUUAUACAUAGUGUAAGUUUUAUCUUUGUUUCUUGUAGAAAUUGAUCUGUUGAUUUAGAAAGAUUCUCAUGCUAUAGUAUUGUUUAGAGAUUAUGCAUACCUAAACACAUGUUUUUUUGAAAGAUUAUGCAUAACAAUUCAAUCAUUCUAAUUUAUAUAUGUCACCUUUGUCUUUCAUAUUUUGCACAUGUUCGUAUCUCAUAGUAAUUAACUGCCAAAUUAUAUUGAUCUGUAAAUCAGAAUUGUAUUACCAUUCUCAUGCUUCAACCCUUCUAUUAAGAAUGUUUCUAUUAUUUUAGUAGUUUAAUUGGGGUCUAAAAGCAUUGGUCAAGUCAACAUGGUCAAAUUGGAAUGAAGCACAGCAUUUGGUACUGGGAAUGUGUAUUUGAUCAAUUUUAUUAAACUCUGAAACAGGCUCUGGAUGGGGAUCUUUAUUUUAUUUCUUAUUUUUUUUAGACCAGUUUUAUUUAUUUUGUACAUUAUUCCCAAUUCUUUAUCAUCUAGUACCCCAUUAUUCCCAAUUCGUUAUCAUCUAGUACCCCAUUAUUCCCAAUUCUUUAUCAUCUAGUAUCCCUUUAUUCCCAAUUCUUUAUCAUCUAGUACCCCUUUAUUCCCAAUUCUUUAUCAUCUAGUACCCCAUUAUUCCCAAUUCUUUAUCAUCUAGUACCCCUUUAUUCCCAAUUCUUUAUCAUCUAGUAUCCCUUUAUUCCUAAUUCUUUAUCAUCUAGUACCCCUUUAUUCCCUAUUCUUUAUCAUCUUAUACCCCUUUAUUCCUAUUUCUUUAUCAUCUAGUACCCCUUUAUUCUCUUAUCUUUAUUUUUGUUUUUUCCCAUUACUCUGCAUAUUCUUUAGCUCUAUUCCGUAAACCCCAUCCAGACCAUCCUUAGAAGGUGCAUUAAAUUCUUAAAAGUACAUCUUGCAUUUAUUAAAAAUGAAAUUUAAUGAUUAGUCAAAUGCUACGUCCCAUCUUUAUUGUUAAAUAAUUCCCGGGCAAUCAUCACUUUUGUUAUAUAUAUAUAUAUAUAUAGUUAAAAGCAAUUCUAUGGAAUCCUCCAUUGCUUUUGAUUCCUAUAAUUCUCUUUAUGCAAAUUUGAGUGUUGGAACUAAUUGUAUACCUAAUGUCACUAAUCAACUGAUAAUCAUAAAAAAGUUGAAAAGAAAAUUUUGUUUAUUUUUUAUUUUCCUUAGUACUGAAGAUUCAGAAAUUACUAUUCCUCCUGAAGGUUGGUGGUUUUCUACUGGCACUCUGCUGCAGGCUCCCUCGAUCACUUAAAUAUGACUGCCAAGGUUGGUGGUUUUCUACUGGCACUCUGCUGCAGGCUCCUCGAUCACUUAAAUAUGACUGCCAAGGUUGGUGGUUUUCUACUGGCACUCUGCAGGCUCCCUCGAUCACUUAAAUAUGACUGCCAAGGUUGGUGGUUUUCUACUGGCACUCUGCAGGCUCCCUCGAUCACUUAAAUAUGACUGCCAAGGUUUGGUGAUUUUCUACUGGCAUCUGCUGCAUGCUCCCUUGAUCACUUAAAUAUGACUGCCAAGGUUGGUGGUUUUCUACUGGCACUCUGCUGCAGGCUCCCUCUUGAUCACUUAAAUAUGACUGCCAAGGUUGGUGGUUUUCUACUGGCACUCUGCUGCAGGCUCCCUCGAUCACUUAAAUAUGACUGCCAAGGUUGGUGGUUUUCUACUGGCACUGCUGCAGGCUCCCUCGAUCACUUAAAUAUGACUGCCAAGGUUGGUGGUUUUCUACUGGCACUCUGCUGCAGGCUCCCUUGAUCACUUAAAUAUGACUGCCAAGGUUGGUGGUUUUCUACUGGCACUCUGCAGGCUCCCUCGAUCACUUAAAUAUGACUGCCAAGGUUGGUGGUUUUCUACUGGCACUCUGCUGCAGGCUCCCUCGAUCACUUAAAUAUGACUACCAAGGUUGGUGGUUUUCUACUGGCACUCUGCUGCAGGCUCCCUUGAUCACUUAAAUAUGACUGCCAAGGUUGGUGGUUUUCUACUGGCACUGCUGCAGGCUCCCUCGAUCACUUAAAUAUGACUGCCAAGGUUGGUGGUUUUCUACUGGCACUCUCUGCAGGCUCCCUCGAUCACUUAAAUAUGACUGCCAAGGUUGGUGGUUUUCUACUGGCACUCUGCUGCAGGCUCCCUCGAUCACUUAAAUAUGACUGCCACAAAAUAGUACAAUUGUAUUGAAAGCAGCAUCAAUCAAUCAGAUAGAAGUUAUUGAGAUGUUGCAAAAGUUGCAUCAGAUUAACCUGUGUUUGUUUCUAAAAAAACAAACAUUUUAAGACAAUUUAGAUUUUAAUAACAUAGAUAUAUGCACUGUAUCCAUGAUAUCCAGAAUAACAUAAAUAUAUGCACCGUAUCCAUCAUAUCCAGAAUAACAUAGAUAUAUGCACCGUAUCCAUGAUAUCCAGAAUAACAUAGAUAUAUGCACCGUAUCCAUCAUAUCCAGAAUAACAUAGAUAUAUGCACCGUAUCCAUCAUAUCCAGAAUAACAUAGAUAUGUGCACCAUAUCCAUCAUAUCCAGAAUAACAUAGAUAUAUGAACCGUAUCCAUCAUAUCCAGAAUAACAUAGAUAUAUGCACCGUAUCCAUCAUAUCCAGAAUAACAUAGAUAUAUGUACCGUAUCCAUCAUAUCCAGAAAUCACAAUAAUCAAUCUCACAAUUGUGUCCAUGCAACAAUCGCAGUAGUAAGUCCAUGCAACAAUGGCAGUAGUAAGUCCAUGCAACAAUCGCAGUAGUAAGUCCAUGCAACAAUCACAAUUAAGUAAGUCCAAAAAAAAUUCUCAAUUUACCAUAUCAAUUUAAAUGUGCCUGCUACUACUGACCUUAAAAUUGAUUGGUUUAAUUAUUGGUGUUUAAAGCCACUUUCAACACUAUUGUGCUAUUUCAUUGCGGUUAGUUUUUAUACGACUGCAAAAAUUUAAUUUUUUUUGGUCGUAUAUUGGUAUUACGUUGUUGUCGUGGUCGUCAGCGUUGUCUGUAGACAGAUGGUUUCUGGGGAUAAUAACUUUAGUAUAAGUAAAUACAAAUCAAUAAAAUUUUAAUACAAGGUUUAUAGCCACUAAAUAAAGGUUGGUAUUGAUUUUCGGUUUAUGGUCCCAACUGUUUUGGAAUUAGGGGCCCCAAAAGUGGCCCAAAUAAGCAUUUUGUUAGUUUCCAGACAAUAACUUGUGUUUAACUGUAUUGAUCUUUCUGAAAUUGUACCAUAAGGUACAACAUACAGUCUUAAACAAUAGACAAACGUCUUUACAAAAUGUUAAGCCACAAAUCGUCCUAAGUUCAAUAAAGAGGUCAAAAUACUGUCUUAAACAAUAGACAAACGUCUAUACAAAAUGUCAAGCUCUAAAUCGUUCCGAGUCUAAAUAAAGAUGUCAACAUACAGUCUUAAAUAAUAGACAAACGUCUAUACAAAAUGUUAAGCCACAAAUCGUCCUGAGUCUAAUAAAGAGGUCAAGAUACAGUCUUAAACAAUAUACAAACGCCUAUACAAAAUGUCCAGCUCUAAAUCGUCCCGAGUCUAAAUCAAGAGGUCAUCAUACAGUCUUAAACAAUAGACAAACGUCUGUACAAAAUGUUAAUCUAAAUCGUCCCGAUUCUACAUAAAGAGGUCAACAUACAGUGUUAAACAAUAGACAAACGUCUGUACAAAAUGUCAAGCUCUAAAUCGUUCCGAGUCUAAUAAAGAUGUCAACAUACAGUCUUAAACAAUAGCCAAAAGUCUAUACAAAAUGCCAAGCUCUGAAUCGUCUCGAAUCUGAUUGAAGAGGUCAUCAUACAGUUUUAAAUAACAGACAAACGUCUAUACAAAAUGUCAAGCUCUAAAUCGUCUCGAGUCUGAAUAAAGAGGUCAACAUACAGUCUUAAACAAUAGACAAACGUCUAUACAAAAUGUCAAGCUCUAAAUCGUCCCGAGUCUUAAUAAAGAGGUCAACAUACAGUCUUAAACAAUAGACAAACGUCUAUACAAAAUGUCAACCUCUAAAUCGUCUCGAAUGUAAAUAAAAAGGUCAAUAUACAGUCUUAAACAAUAGACAGGCGUUUAUACAACACGUCUAUACAAACAAGAAUGUGUCCAUAGUACACGGAUGCCCCAUUCGCAUCAUCAUUUUCAUUUCAUAGAUGAAAUUGGUUCUAAUUUGGCAAUUAAAUUAGAAAAGAUCAUAUCAUAGGAACAUGUGUACUAAGUUUGAAGUUGAUUGGACUUCAACUUCAUUAAAAACUACCUUGACCAAAAACUUUAACCUGAAACUUGCACUAUUAUUUUCUAUGUUCAGUGGACCGUGAAAUUGGGGUCAAAAGUCUAAUUUGGCAAUUAAAUUAGAAGGAUCAUAUCAUAGGGAACAUGUGUACUAAGUUUGAAGUUGAUUGGACUUCAACUUCAUCAAAAACUACCUUGACCAAAAACUUUAACCUGAACGAACGAACGAACGGACAGAUGGAAGGACUAAAGGACGGACGGACGGACGGACGCACAGACCAGAAAACAUAAUGCCCCUCUACUAUCGUAGGUGGGGCAUCAAAAUCAACCUCUAAAUCGUCCAGAGUUGAAAUAAAGAGGUCAAGAUACAAUCUUAAACAAUAGACAAACGUCUAUACAAAAAGUCAAGCUCUAAAUCGUUGAGUCUAAAUAAAGAUGUCAACAUACAGUCUUAAAUAAUAGACAAACGUCUAUAUAAAAUGAUAAGCCACAAAUGGUCCUGAGUCUAAUAAAUAAACAAUAUACAAACGUCUAUACAAAAUGUCCAGCUCUAAAUCGUCCCGAGUCUAAAUCAAGAGGUCAUCAUACAGUCUUAAACAAUAGACAAACGUCUGUACAAAAUGUUAAUCUAAAUCGUCCCGAUUCUACAUAAAGAGGUCAACAUACAGUGUUAAACAAUAGACAAACGUCUGUACAAAAUGUCAAGCCUCUAAAUCGUUCCGAGUCUAAUAAAGAUGUCAACAUACAGUCUUAAACAAUAGCCAAAAGUCUAUACAAAAUGCCAAGCUCUAAAAUCGUCUCGAAUCUGAUUGAAGAGGUCAUCAUACAGUUUUAAAUAAUAGACAAUUGUCUAUACAAAAUGUCAAGCUCUAAAUCGUCUCGAAUCUGAAUAAAGAGGUCAACAUACAGUCUUAAACAAUAGACAAACGUCUAUACAAAAUGUCAAGCUCUAAAUCGUCCCGAGUCUUAAUAAAGAGGUCAACAUACAGUCUUAAAAAAUAGACAAACGUCUAUACAAAAUGUAAACCUCUAAAUCGUCUCGAAUGUAAAUAAAAAGGUCGAUAUACAGUCUUAAACAAUAGACAGGCGUUUAUACAACACGUCUAUACAAACAAGAAUGUGUCCAUAGUACACGGAUGCCCCAUUCGCAUCAUCAUUUUCUAUGUUCAGUAGACCGUGAAAUUGGGGUCAAAACUCUAAUUUGGCAAUUAAAUUAGAAAGAUCAUAUCAUAGGAACAUGUGUACUAAGUUUGAAGUUGAUUGGACUUCAACUUCAUUAAAAACUACCUUGACCAAAAACUUUAACCUGAAACUUGCACUAUUAUUUUCUAUGUUCAGUGGACCGUGAAAUUGGGGUCAAAAGUCUAAUUUGGCAAUUAAAUUAGAAAGAUCAUAUCAUAGGGAACAUGUGUACUAAGUUUGAAGUUGAUUGGACUUCAACUUCAUCAAAAACUACCUUGACCAAAAACUUUAGCCUGAACGAACGAACGAACUGACAGAUGGAAGGAAUAAAGGACGGACGGACUGACGCACAGACCAGAAAACAUAAUGCCCCUCUACUAUCGUAGGUGGGGCAUAAAAAUCAACCUCUAAAUCGUCCAGAGUUGAAAUAAAGAGGUCAAGAUACAAUCUUAAACAAUAGACACACGUCUAUACAAAAUGUCAAGCUCUAAAUCGUCUCGAGUCUGAAUAAAGAGGUCAACAUGCAGUCUUAAAUAAUAGACAAACGUGUAUACAAAAUGUCAACCUCUAAAUCGUCUCGAAUCUAAAUAAAGAGGUCAACAUACAGUCUUAAACAAUAAAAAAACGUCUAUACAAAAUGUCAAGCUUUAAAUCGUCUCGAGUCUGAAUAAAGAGGUCAACAUACAGUCUUAAACAAUAGAAAAACGUCUAUACAAAAUAUCAAGCUAUAAAUCGUCCCGAGUCUUAAUAAAGAGGUUAACAUACAGUUUUAAAUAAUAGACAAACGUGUAUACAAAAUGUCAACCUCUAAAUCGUGUCGAAUCUAAAUAAAGAGGUCAAUAUACAAUCUUAAACAAUAGACAAACGUCUAUACAAAAUAUCAAGCUAUAAAUCGUCCCGAGUCAUGAUAAAGAGGUCAGCAUACAGUCUUAAAUAAUAGACAAACGUGUAUACAAAAUGUCAAGCUCUAAAUCGUCUCGAAUCUAAAUAAAAAGGUCAAUAUACAGUCUUAAACAAUAAAAAAACGUCUAUACAAAAAGUCAAGCUCUAAAUCGUCCCGAUUUUACAUAAAGAGGUCAACAUACAAUCUUAAACAAUAGACAAACGUCUAUACAAAAUGUCAAGCUUUAAAUCGUCACAAGUCUUAAUAAAGAGGUCAACAUACAGUUUUAAACAAUAGACAAGCGUCUAUACAAUAUGUCCAACUCUAAAUCGUCUCGAGUCUGAAUAAAGAGCUCAGCAUACAGUUUUUAACAAUAGACAAACGUCUAUACAAAAUGUCAAGCUCCAAAUCGUCUCUAGUCUUAAUAAAGAGGUCAACAUACAGUCUUAAACAAUAGACAAACGUCUAUACAAAAUGUCAAGCUCUAAAUCGUCUCGAAUUUGAAUGAAGAGGUCAACAUACAGUUUUGAACAAUAGACAAAAGUGUAUACAAAAUGUCAAGCUCUAAAUCGUCCCGACGUUAAAUAAAGAGGUCNNNNNNNNNNNNNNNNNNNNNNNNNNNNNNNNNNNNNNNNNNNNNNNNNNNNNNNNNNNNNNNNNNNNNNNNNNNNNNNNNNNNNNNNNNNNNNNNNNNNNNNNNNNNNNNNNNNNNNNNNNNNNNNNNNNNNNNNNNNNNNNNNNNNNNNNNNNNNNNNNNNNNNNNNNNNNNNNNNNNNNNNNNNNNNNNNNNNNNNNNNNNNNNNNNNNNNNNNNNNNNNNNNNNNNNNNNNNNNNNNNNNNNNNNNNNNNNNNNNNNNNNNNNNNNNNNNNNNNNNNNNNNNNNNNNNNNNNNNNNNNNNNNNNNNNNNNNNNNNNNNNNNNNNNNNNNNNNNNNNNNNNNNNNNNNNNNNNNNNNNNNNNNNNNNNNNNNNNNNNNNNNNNNNNNNNNNNNNNNNNNNNNNNNNNNNNNNNNNNNNNNNNNNNNNNNNNNNNNNNNNNNNNNNNNNNNNNNNNNNNNNNNNNNNNNNNNNNNNNNNNNNNNNNNNNNNNNNNNNNNNNNNNNNNNNNNNNNNNNNNNNNNNNNNNNNNNNNNNNNNNNNNNNNNNNNNNNNNNNNNNNNNNNNNNNNNNNNNNNNNNNNNNNNNNNNNNNNNNNNNNNNNNNNNNNNNNNNNNNNNNNNNNNNNNNNNNNNNNNNNNNNNNNNNNNNNNNNNNNNNNNNNNNNNNNNNNNNNNNNNNNNNNNNNNNNNNNNNNNNNNNNNNNNNNNNNNNNNNNNNNNNNNNNNNNNNNNNNNNNNNNNNNNNNNNNNNNNNNNNNNNNNNNNNNNNNNNNNNNNNNNNNNNNNNNNNNNNNNNNNNNNNNNNNNNNNNNNNNNNNNNNNNNNNNNNNNNNNNNNNNNNNNNNNNNNNNNNNNNNNNNNNNNNNNNNNNNNNNNNNNNNNNNNNNNNNNNNNNNNNNNNNNNNNNNNNNNNNNNNNNNNNNNNNNNNNNNNNNNNNNNNNNNNNNNNNNNNNNNNNNNNNNNNNNNNNNNNNNNNNNNNNNNNNNNNNNNNNNNNACAUUUUUUCCUUAAAAAUGUCCUGUACCAAGUCAGGAAUAUGGCCAUUUGUUUAUAUUAUUGUUCGUUUCUGUGUGUGUUACAUUUUAACGUUGCGUCAUUUGUUUUCUCUUAUUUUUGAGUGUUAUUUCACAUUGCGAUAAGACGUGUCACGGUACUUGUCUAUCCCAAAUUCAUGUAUUUGGUUUUGAUGUUAUAUUUGUUAUUCUCGUGGGAUUUUGUCGGAUGCUUGAUCCGUUUCUGUGUGUGUUACAUUUUAGUGUUGUGUCGUUGUUCUUCUCUGAUAUUUAAUGCGUUUUCAUCGGUUUUAGUUUGUUACCCCGAUUUUGUUUUUUGUCCAUGGAUUUAUGAGUUUUGAACAGCGGUAUACUACUGUUGCCUUUAUUUGUUAGGUGUUGUUCUUUUAUUAGAUGUUCUACAGAAAAUUAAAAUGACAGGCACACGUUUGAAAUGGUGGUUAUAUGUACCUGUAGUCAUAAGUAAUCACAUUGAUUGAGAUAUAAUGCGUUUCCAAUUGCUCAUUGUAUUACAUCGUGUACAUGUUUUUUUUUUAACUUAAUCGUUCAUUAUAUCAAAUAUAUUCUUUUUAAAAUAUUAUGCAUUGCCCUUUUUCUUACAGACUUGUUAAAUUGAGUGGAAAACAUACAGACAGAAGAUGGCAUUAGUUAAAACGACAAUUCUUUUAUUGAACCAGGUUUUUUUAUAUAAUGAAAAUGUUAUCCGCAGAGUGUGUACAUGUUACUGAAAUUACGUGAUGACUUGAUAAAAUAUUGUAGUUACUUCACUGUACUUUUUUUUUAAAUUUUUUUAUUUAAGAUCUAUAUUUAUUUAUUGAAAGAUGUUUUAUACCUGUAACACCAGGUUUUACCGGUCAUUUGUAUAAAAAUGGCUUAAUUCUAGUCAGGAGUAUGAACUUUUUUUUUUAUCAAAUAGGCAACAGAUCCCUCAUUACAGGCAUCUACCGUUAAUUUUUAUUUUCUUUGCCAAAACACGUAGUUCAUAGCGGCAGUGGUUGCAAUUCAAAGUCAGCGUUUUUCAUAGGAGUUAUUUCCCUUUGAUUACUUUGGGUAACGUGUUGUAAUUUUCUUUUCUUUAAGAAAAUCACUGUUUGAAACAAAUAUUUGUUCAAAUAAAAAAAUAAUCGCAAUUUUUUGAAGGACAGCAAAGCUUGAGCCAGACUAUAGGUAUUACACCUGUAUGUCAUUCAAAUCUUCUUGAAAUCAUGUACAGCAAUAUUCAUGAUUUAGGGGUGGGGAUCUAGACAGUUUACAAACAGACAGGAGAUAGGGGUAAGACUGACCCUAGGGGACUAGCCUUUUAUUUCAUCUGAUUUGUUUUAUUAUCCAAUACAAGAAUAUAUAUGGUUAAGGGGUGGGGAUCACAAUCGUAUACAAGUUUUCAAAAAGAAGGGGGUGGGUUCACCCCUCUGGACUUCUUCUAUAUUUCAUUUCAUUUAUUUUAUUAGCCAAUUCAAAAAUAUAUAUGGUUUAUCGGUGGGGAUCUCAACCCUUUACGAGUUUUCAAACAAAAAGGGUCAAAUUGGAAUGAAGCACAGCAUUUGGUACUGGGAAUGUGUAUUUGAUCAACUUUAUUAAACUCUGAAAGAGGCUCUGGAUGGGGAUCUUUAUUUUAUUUC
rnacentral:lncRNA from 1 species